rnacentral:rRNA from 1 species
GACGAACGCUGGCGGCGUGCUUAACACAUGCAAGUCGAACGGAAAGGCCCUGCUUGCAGGGUACUCGAGUGGCGAACGGGUGAGUAACACGUGGGUGAUCUGCCCUGCACUUCGGGAUAAGCCUGGGAAACUGGGUCUAAUACCGGAUAGGAGCCAUUUUUAGUGUGAUGGUUGGAAAGUUUUUUCGGUGUAGGAUGAGCUCGCGGCCUAUCAGCUUGUUGGUGGGGUAAUGGCCUACCAAGGCGGCGACGGGUAGCCGGCCUGAGAGGGUGGACGGCCACAUUGGGACUGAGGGACGGCCCAGACUCCUACGGGAGGCAGCAGUGGGGAAGAUUGCACAAUGGGCGCAAGCCUGAUGCAGCGACGCCGCGUGGGGGAUGACGGCCUUCGGGUUGUAAACUCCUUUCGCUAGGGACGAAGCUUUUUGUGACGGUACCUAGAUAAGAAGCACCGGCUAACUACGUG